rnacentral:misc_RNA from 1 species
AGUAAAUAUGUAUUCUCUGGAAUAUACGUUUCAAACCCAUCUGUGUAUCUUACCUGUUGCUUCCGUACCGCGUGGACUUCGGUCCCCUCAUGCUGUACUUCGGUACGGUUCCAGAGUGCCGGUGCGGAAGGUAUACAUCAAACUCUUGCAUUCCAUGUCUUCUGUCUGAACUGUUAAUAACAAAAGUUUAAAACUUUCAACAACGGAUCUCUUGGUUCU